AUUAACGCUGGCGGCGUGCAUGAGACAUGCAAGUCGAACGGACGGGCGAGCUUGCUCGCCCGUUAGUGGCGGACGGCUGAGUAACGCGUGGGUGACCUGCCCCGAAGUGGGGAAUAACUGCCCGAAAGGGUGGCUAAUACCGCAUGUGGUGACUGGUUCGUCCCAGUCUCCAAAGCCGCAAGGCGCUUCGGGAGGGGCCUGCGUCCGAUUAGCUCGUUGGUGGGGUAACGGCUCACCAAGGCGACGAUCGGUAGGUG
rnacentral:rRNA from 1 species